GGAGAGUUGUCCGAGUGGUCGAAGGUGCAGCACUCGAAAUGCUGUGUACGAAAGUACCUAGGGUUCGAAUCCCUAACUCUCCGCCA
rnacentral:tRNA from 1 species